UUCAUGAGCUCUGUUGUUCAACAAAUGCAGUAAAAUUCCAUGUGUCUUAAGUUCUCCAAAAGUCCGAGAUACAGUUUUACCAUAAUGGAUUUUGUUGUUGUUGUUUGUUUGUUUGUUUGUUUGAGACAGGGUUUCCUCGGUGUAAUCCUGCCUAUCCUGGAACUCAUUCUGUAGACCAGGCUGGCCUCAAACUCACAGAGAUCCUCCUUCCUCUGCCUCCCAAGUGCUGAGAUUAAAGGCAUGUGCCACACAGGAAUGGGUUUUAAUUCAAUCUGUUGUUUUAAGAUUGGCAUUAAUAAAAGUAGUCUGUCCUAGUAUGUGUUCAGUUGCUUGGAUAAAACACCAUGAUCUAAACCUACUUGUAGGGAAAAGGGAUUAUUUCAGGUUACAACUCUCUGGUCACACCAUCACUAAGGGAAGUUGGGGCAGGAAGUCAAGGCGGGAACCUGGAGGCAGGACCUGAUAUGGAGGAACAGUGCUCAUUGACUUGUUCCCCGUAGCUUGCUCAGCCUGCUUUCUUAUAGAACCCAGGACCACCAAUCCAGGGAUGGCCCCACCCACAGUGAACUGGGCUCUCCCCCAUCAAUCAUUAAUGGGAGCCUCCAAAGGCUUGCCUCUCUCCAGAUGACCUUAGCCUGUGGGAGGCUGACAUAAAACUAACCAGUCCAGCCACCCACAUUCUCUUAGAGCUGUCAUAAGGUUCCAAGAUAACAUUGAAACAUCGAGACUCUAAUUGCUGAUGAAUGUGCAAAACUGGGGUCAUGAUUCCUUUCUAUUGUUGUUUCUUUUCUUUCUUUCUUUCUUUUUUUUUUUUUUUUGCUCCUUUUCUGGAGUCUCACAUAACCCAGGCUGGUCUCCGUGUAACUCCUAAUCCUCCUGCCUCCACUUCCCAGGUGCCAGGAUUACAGGCAUGCACCACUACCCCUGGCCAACGUUUCAUUUUAGCUGCAAAUCGCCAGAUUAACGGGAGGAUGAACGAUAUGAAGAAAGAUUUUGGUGAAAGGGAACAUACUAUGGAAAGUGAGACAGUGUUCAUUGAACUGAUCUAUAUGCUGUAUUCCCUUGGACACUCCAGUUUGGCGGAGGCAGAUCUGAGAGUUGCAAGCUUGAACCCCUCCCUGGCAACCAGGAUGACAACAGUGCCCUCACUAAGUACUGCCUUGCACGACUUAACCUGCUUCCUAGCCAAGGCUCUCUCUUCUGCAUGA
rnacentral:lncRNA from 1 species